AGAAUGCUCAGGAGAGCUGAGCGGCUACAAGAUCUAUGAGCAUCCCACAGCUCAGAAGGAAGGGGCCUUUUAUAGGAAGGAGUGAGCAUGGCUGGAAAGAACCAUAUUCAGGGACCAUCUCUGUGGUCAGCCUUUGGGGGUGGGGCUGUAUGCUGGCUCUGGCCACGGGUGAGUCCAUGCUCAGGGUCUGGUGGGGAGGAGGGGAGCCUAACUGAGGCUUGGUGGAGUGACUUAACCAGCCUUCUGUUCAGAUGGAGACUAUGUAAAUCUUUUUAGAAGCUAACUUAGCCUCCUGCUAGUUUUUCAACCCUAGGUGUGUUUUCCUUAAGAGCCCAGGAGGCAUCUCUGAAAUGUAAACCUCAAGGGACCUCGAGGGGGAUUGCACCCUCUCUCCCUGUCUCAGUGGGAGUUUAAGCCCAGGCACCGGGCUCCAGUGGUAACUGCCUGCUUGCCGUGGGUUCUUUUUAGCCUUACUGACUUCUCCCUGUAAAAGAAAAGCUCCUUUCUGCGCCAGCUCUGAGAGGCUCGCAGAUCUUAGUGUCUCACUGUAGACCUUACAGUACUAUCGUAGCCCCAUCCCCCUGUGGCCACGGCCCCUCGCCAUCUCUUGCAAUCAUCCUUUUGAACAGAGCCUCCCCUUACCUAUGUCAGGAUUUGUUCUUACUUGGCCGAGGGUAUGGAAGACUUGUGCGUUUUAAAUUGGGGACCAGUUCUAAAGUCAGUGAUUGCGUUAAAUGUGUACGUAACAGCUCUGCUGGACAGCCAAGAAAGUCAAGAGUAUGCCAGCUGGAAAGGUGCUCCACCCAUCCUUAGGGAACCGUGCAAAGGAGAGGUUCUGCAGAAUCCAAGCCAAGUGCCCCCGAAGUCACCCUUCCGUGCAUCCCCUCUUACCAUCCACUGUGUGUAUGUACGUGUGUGUCUGGGAUCCAGGGCAAUGUGAAUUUUCUUUUUAUUUGGGAGAUUGUUCACAGAAAACAGAUCCUCUUUUCUCUUGUCCACCUAUUAAUUGUUUACAAUAUUUGUAUAUCUAUGCAAAAUACUUGAAUGGGCUGUGGUGCCUUUUUUCCUUGUUUGUAUUUAAUUAAAUUGUCAUUUGAAAUGUCUGGUUUGGCAACUCUUUUUCAUUUGUUUGUUUUAAUGUUGCACUGGCCAGCCUGGAUAGGAUCCAUCACCGAGGACUCCUCAGAAGAGUUCCUACAGAGACCAUCUGUCCAGCCUGUGAGGCCACCACGGAAGACCUUGAGCCAUAGAAAAGCCCUGGGUUUUCCCAUGACCAGUCGAGGGAGCUGUCUUUGCACCUGGACACAGGCCAGUCUAGUUUUAAUAGGUCUGGGGUCACUCAAGGCACGAAUGAUACAGAUCUACCUUGAGGAUUUGUGAGAGCUGAAAAGUAUUCACGUGGAGCUCUUAACACUGUGGUGGGCUUCUCGUAAGGGCUCAGGCAUAAACAAGGGAUGGGUGUCUUCCACUGACGCUAUUCCCCCAACAGCCUUUCCUUCUCUAGUGAAGGCGUGGCUGUAGAAGGCACUGGAGGGACUUCCUUGGCAGCCAGAACUCUCCAGAGAUUGGGGACUGGCCCCCCGGCACUAGAGGAAGCCGUCUAAUUGUUCCGUGUCCAAGGAAAGCCAAGAUGGGAAGACGAGGCUGAAAAUGGACUGCAUCGUUGUUCACAAAACCAAGGCCAGCCAACACCCAACACGCCUGCUUUGAAAGCUUCACUGGAGAAGAGAAGUUAGAAAAACAGGGAUGUCCCACAGGCUGCAUACCAAGACCAGAUGCCAAUAGUACACACAUAUCUCUACCUGCCAUCCUCUAACCCUCUUGGUUGUGAUAACCAAAAACAUCCCAGACAACUGCCCAAAUCACCCCAGAUCACGAAUCAUCGAGAUUUCAAAACUUAAUAAGAAAAAAGCUGUAAAAUAUCUCAUUAAAUAA